rnacentral:rRNA from 1 species
GAGUUCGCAACUGACGCUCAUGCACGAAAGCGUGGGGAUCAAACAGGAUUAGAUACCCUGGUAGUCCACGCCGUAAACGAUGAUCACUCGUUGCCGGGGGGCGACCUUCGGUGGCCAAGCGAAAGCGAUAAGUGAUCCACCUGGGGAGUACGAUCGCAAGGUUGAAACUCAAAGGAAUUGACGGGGGCCCGCACAAGCGGAGGAGCAUGUGGUUUAAUUCGAUGAUACGCGAGGAACCUUACCCGGGCUUGAACGUAAGACCGAGACACAGGAGACUGUGUCGCCUUCGGGGGUUUUGCGAGGUGCUGCAUGGUUGUCGUCAGCUCGUGCCGUGAGGUGUUAGGUUAAGUCCUGCAACGAGCGCAACCCUUACCUUCAGUUGCCAGCACGUAAUGGUGGGGACUCUGGAGGAACUGCCUACGCAAGUAGAGAGGAAGGUGGGGAUGACGUCAAAUCAGCACGGCCCUUAUGUCCGGGGCUACACACGUGCUACAAUGGCGCACACAGAGGGCAGCGACCCUGCGAGGGGGAGCCAAUCCAUUAAAGUGCGUCUCAGUUCGGAUCGGAGUCUGGAACCCGACUCCGUGAAGUUGGAUUCGC